rnacentral:rRNA from 1 species
UACGUAGGGGGCAAGCGUUGUCCGGAAUCAUUGGGCGUAAAGAGCGUGUAGGCGGUCCGGUCAGUCGGUUGUGAAAGUCAAGGGCUCAACCCUUGAAUGCCGGCCGAUACUGCCGGGCUAGAGUCCGGAAGAGGUGAGUGGAAUUCCUGGUGUAGCGGUGGAAUGCGCAGAUAUCAGGAGGAACACCGAUGGCGAAGGCAGCUCGCUGGGACGGUACUGACGCUGAGGCGCGAAAGCGUGGGGAGCAAACAGG